AAUCAACGCUGGCGGCGUGCCUAAUACAUGCAAGUCGAGCGGGUUUAUCCUUCGGGGUAAGCUAGCGGCGGACGGGUGAGUAACACGUAGGCAACCUGCCUUCAAGAUCGGGAUAACUAUCGGAAACGAUAGCUAAGACCGGAUAGCUGGUUUUCUCGCAUGAGAGAAUCAUGAAACACGGAGCAAUCUGUGGCUUGAAGAUGGGCCUGCGGCGCAUUAGCUAGUUGGUGAGGUAACGGCUCACCAAGGCGACGAUGCGUAGCCGACCUGAGAGGGUGAACGGCCACACUGGGACUGAGACACGGCCCAGACUCCUACGGGAGGCAGCAGUAGGGAAUCUUCCGCAAUGGACGCAAGUCUGACGGAGCAACGCCGCGUGAGUGAUGAAGGUUUUCGGAUCGUAAAGCUCUGUUGCCCUAGACGAACAGCAUCAGGAGUAACUGCCUGUUGUGUGACGGUAUAGGAGAAGAAAGCCCCGGCUAACUACGUGCCAGCAGCCGCAGUAACAC
rnacentral:rRNA from 1 species